UUGUUUUUGUGAAUUCUUGAAACAAGUCAAGACCUCUGUUCUUACCAAAAUGCUUAAGAAUAGGUCAUCUCUCUCUUGCUUUCUCACCAUUUUCCAUUACAUACACAAGCUACAGUAAAACUCAUAUUAACCAAAAACGUCAACUGUUUUUCAAUUUUUUUUUUGUUUGUUUUUUAAAGAGACACCAGGUGGAUGAGGUAAUAUUUUAUUGGACCAACUUCAAGAAGGGAGAAACUUUUGAGCUUCGCAGAGCACUUCCUCAGGUCUGGAGAAGGAAACAGGCGUCCAAGCUAAAUACAAGGAGGUGUCCCACAAUGCCCAUCCUGAGGACCGCUCUGGUCAGCAGUUUGAAUUCCACUGCCCUGCAGCCAGGAGCUGGACACUAUCCUCUGUGGCGACUCCACCCGCACCUCCAUCUUCAAGAGCCCCGUGGAUACUUCGGACCUGGAAGCGGCAGAAAGAGGACCUAACCCAGAGGACAUGCUUUCAGUGUGCGCAGAGAUGUGUGCUUGCCAAGAGUCAGUGAGAAAGUGAUGGAUACGUUACAAAAGGUGUGUUUUAUUGAAAUGUUUCAAUGCUGUGCGUGAAUUUAGCAAUCAUGCUUCUGUGCAUUGUUCCUUGUGCUUCGGCAGAUGUGGCCUUCAGGAACACCCUGCGCACACCGACCGAGCAUCUCUGCUAGAUAAGAAAACGCCCAAGACUGAGUAAAGAAGACAUGUUCUGGGAGGUACUGCACUUCUCCAAUGCAGAGGAAAGGGAACGCAAGCCGAAAGGCAGGACAGAAAAGAGAAUCAGGAAUUUAAGGACACUACUGAGCAGAUGAUUAAAGUCAUGGAGGAGCAAACGCAGAUGCUGAAGUCCUUAAUAACGCUGCAGAUUAAGCAGAUGCGUGCCCGCCCUUCCCUGCAGCAUAUUCAGA